UUAUCGAAAUAAACCUGAACAGGCUGUUGCUAGUCCUCCUAGGACAUGUGCACGUCUGUCGUCUUUAUUUUCUCCAACUGUGCACGUAUUGUAGACCUGUUGUUCGUUUUUAUCUUUGGGAUAGAUUGAGGACUGCUGUGCUUUGUUGAACAGCUUUGCCUUUUGAAUCUCCAGGUCUAUGUUUCUACAUUUUUACCAAUGUGUUUUAGAAUGUUGAGUACUGGGGAUAACAAAUAUACAACUUUCAGCAACGGAUCUCUUGGCUCUCGCAUCGAUGAAGAACGCAGCGAAAUGCGAUAAGUAAUGUGAAUUGCAGAAUUCAGUGAAUCAUCGAAUCUUUGAACGCAUCUUGCGCUCCUUGGUAUUCCGAGGAGCAUGCCUGUUUGAGUGUCAUAAAAGUUCUCAACCACAUUUGUUUUUUGGUGUGGCUUGGAUGUGGGGGUUGCAGGCUUUCAUUGUUUUUGCUCCCCUGAAAAGCAUUAGUAGUAUCUGAGCAUCUCAGGCAUGAUAAUUAUCUAUGUCUUUGGUGGGAUGUGU
rnacentral:rRNA from 1 species